rnacentral:rRNA from 1 species
GAUGAACGCUGGCGGCGCGCCUAACACAUGCAAGUCGAACGGUUAAAGCACCUCCGGGUGUGCAUAGAGUGGCGAACGGCUGAGUAACACGUGGGCAACCUGCCCCCCUCAUCGGGAUAGCCUCGGGAAACCGUGGGUAAUACCGAAUACUCCGGCACCCCCGCAUGGGGGAGCCGGGAAAGCUCCGGCGGAGGGGGAUGGGCCCGCGGCCUGUUAGCUAGUUGGCGGGGUAACGGCCCACCAAGGCGAUUAUGGGUAGCCGGGUUGAGAGACCGACCGGCCAGAUUGGGACUGAGACACGGCCCAGACUCC